GCGCUCGUAGCUCAGCUGGAUAGAGUACCUGGCUACGAACCAGGCGGUCAGAGGUUCGAAUCCUCUCGAGCGCGCCA
rnacentral:tRNA from 207 species